rnacentral:rRNA from 1 species
UCCGUAGGUGAACCUGCGGAGGGAUCAUUACACAAUAUGAAAGCGGGCUGGAUACUCUGCAGUAGUGCAUUGCUUUACGGCGUGCGCUGCUGGAGAGCCUAGCCUUGCUGAAUUAUUUACCCGUGUCUUUUGCGUACUUCUUGUUUCCUUGGUGGGCUCGCCCGCCACAAGGACAACUCAUAAACCUUUUGUAAUAGCAAUCAGCGUCAGUAACAACAUAAUAAUUACAACUUUCAACAACGGAUCUCUUGGUUCUGGCAUCGAUGAAGAACGCAGCGAAAUGCGAUACGUAGUGUGAAUUGCAGAAUUCAGUGAAUCAUCGAAUCUUUGAACGCACAUUGCGCCCCUUGGUAUUCCAUGGGGCAUGCCUGUUCGAGCGUCAUUUGUACCCUCAAGCUAUGCUUGGUGUUGGGUGUUUGUCCUCUCCUCUGCGAUUGGACUCGCCUUAAAGACAUUGGCAGCCAGUGUAUUGGUAUUGAAGCGCAGCACAAUUUGCGAUUCUGGCCUUAAAAUACUAGCGUCCAUAAGUACUUUCUCACUUUUGGACCUCCGGGGGGAUCAUGGUAGGGGGAUACCCGCUGAACUUAAGGCAUAUCAAUAAGGCGGGGGAGGGGAAGGGUCGGACUGG